GCUCGCAUAGCUCAGUUGGAUAGAGCGGCAGUUUCCUAAACUGCAGGUCCCAGGUUCGAUCCCUGGUGUGGGCG
rnacentral:tRNA from 2 species